rnacentral:rRNA from 1 species
AUUGAACGCUGGCGGCAGGCCUAACACAUGCAAGUCGAACGAGUGGCGGACGGGUGAGUAAUGUCUGGGAAACUGCCUGAUGGAGGGGGAUAUCUACUGGAAACGGUAGCUAAUACCGCAUACCAUCAGAUGUGCCCAGAUGGGAUUAGCUAGUUGGGGGGGUAACGGCUCACCAAGGCGACGAUCCCUAGCUGGUCUGAGAGGAUAACCAGCAACACUGGACCUGAGACACGGCCCAGACUCCUACGGGCGGCAGAAGUGGGAAAUCUUGAACAAUGGGCGAAAGCCGGAUGCAGCCAUGCCGCGUGUAUGAAGAUGGCCUUCGGGUUGUAAAGUACUUUCAGCGGGGAGGCGUUACCCGCAGAAGAAGCACCGGCUAACUCCGUGCCAGCCGCCGCGGUAAUUC